rnacentral:piRNA from 1 species
UCCNGUGUCCUGCUGUGACGGAGUAGC